AGGCCUGAGGCGCGCCUUGCCGCGUGUAUGAAGAAGGCCUUCGGGUUGUAAAGUACUUUCAGCGGGGAGGAAGGCGAUAAGGUUAAUAACCUUGUCGAUUGACGUUACCCGCAGAAGAAGCACCGGCUAACUCCGUGCCAGCAGCCGCGGUAAUACGGAGGGUGCAAGCGUUAAUCGGAAUUACUGGGCGUAAAGCGCACGCAGGCGGUCUGUCAAGUCGGAUGUGAAAUCCCCGGGCUCAACCUGGGAACUGCAUUCGAAACUGGCAGGCUAGAGUCUUGUAGAGGGGGGUAGAAUUCCAGGUGUAGCGGUGAAAUGCGUAGAGAUCUGGAGGAAUACCGGUGGCGAAGGCGGCCCCCUGGACAAAGACUGACGCUCAGGUGCGAAAGCGUGGGGAGCAAACA
rnacentral:rRNA from 1 species